rnacentral:rRNA from 1 species
AACGAACGCUGGCGGCAGGCUUAACACAUGCAAGUCGAACGCAUCCUUCGGGGUGAGUGGCAGACGGGUGAGUAACGCGUGGGAACGUGCCCUUCAGUUCGGGAUAACCCAGGGAAACUUGGGCUAAUACCGGAUACGUGCGAGAGCAGAAAGAUUUAUCGCUGAAGGAUCGGCCCGCGUCUGAUUAGCUAGUUGGUGGGGUAGUGGCCCACCAUGGCGACGAUCAGUAGCUGGUCUGAGAGGAUGAGCAGCCACAUUGGGACUGAGACACGGACCAAACUCCUACGGGGGGCAGCAGUGGGGAAUAUUGGACAAUGGGCGCAAGCGUGAUCCAGCCAUGCCGCGUGAGUGAUGAAGGCCUUAGGGUUGUAAAGCUCUUUCGUCCGGGACGAUAAUGACGGUACCGGAAGAAGAAGCCCCGGCUAACUUCGUGCCAGCAGCCGCAGUAA